CCACACAGGGCUCCAACUCGAAAACAGUGAGAUCAUAUCCUGAGUUGAAGUCAGACACUGAACUGACUGAGCCACCCAGGGGCCCCAAGAUUAAACAUUGAUUUUAAAUAAGGACUGGCUAACACGAUUCAGAAGGAUGGUCUUGAAAACCUGAUUGGGAGGACUAAAUACUUCGGAGGCAGAAGUGACAAACAUUUGGGCUAACUGGACAUGGGAGAAAGAAGGAGGCAAGAGUCAAAGAUCUGUAUUCUUCCUCACUCCCUUCUCCUUGGCAGCAGGUGGAGCAAUCCUAUUAAAAUAAAAUCCAGAUCAAUUUCCUCCUCUGCUCUAAACCCUCCAGUGGCUCCCACCUGACUCAGAAUAAAAGCCAGAAUCGGUAGCCACCUACAGGGACCCACAUACCAAACUUAGGGUUAUCCCUGACAUGGUGGUCUUACCCUCUCCUUCCUUCUGCCCUCUGCUCCGACUGCCUCACUGUGCUGAACACGCCCCAGGACCUUUGUACCUACCAUCUCCUUGCCUGCAAUGCUUUGUGAAAUCUCUGUGUUUUGCUGCCCUCACCUAUUCACUUCUUACUGAGGCCUUUUCCUGGGCACCCUCUCCAAAACAAUCCCCUGGCACUCCCAUCCUUUUGUUGCUUAAUAUUUAUCCCUAGCACACAUCAUAACUAUAUGUUUUACUUACUUGUUUGGUUUUUGUCUCUUCCAUUAGCAUAUAAAUUGCAGGAGGGCAGGGGUUUUGUUUUGUUCACAGCUCCUGGCACGGUAUUAAUACUGAGUAAAUGCUUGUUGAAUCUAAAUAAAGAACUCAAGUGUUCCAUUUACCUCCAGGGAACAUCAGAUCUGCCAUCGUUUAGUAAAAGGCAUUUGGUGGCUUGACUCUUUUCAAUCGUAAAUUCUCUUGGUUCAUUUAAAGUUAGAGUCCAUUUUGAAGGAUUCCAUUUCCACGUGAUUUGUUGGUUUGUUUUCAGGAACAACAUCACUCUGUUCGUGGCUUACAGGCUGAUGUCCCCACCUCACCAGGGGACGCCAGACAAGGAUGUCGGCCCCUGAGACUUUCCUAGGAGAAGCAUGGCUAACGCCGUGGAGUGUUUCCACGGCCAGGAGCUAGCUAGCUGCUCUGUGUAUCUCAUCUGCUUUCUCUCUUACUCUCGAGAGCCAGCCUCUGAGGGAAGCAUGCUCAUUGUCUCCAUUUCUCAGGUGUCUGGGUACCCACGGGCCACACCGGUGACCACAUGGCCCCGCAGAAAACAGGGGAAGGCACUGCACAGCCAGCCACUGGCAAGACAGGGUUGAGGGGAAAUCACUGCUUCUGGUCCUUUGGGCAAAUUACCUACCGCAUCUGAGGUCAGUUUCUUUAUCAGUGAAACGAAGGUAACAUCUGCUUACCUGAUAGUGGGUGCUAGUGGGACCGGCUGGAAUUCAUGAAACCCCGAUGAUCAAGAAAACAAUAGAUCAAGUUUGCUCAUAUCUGGGAGCACAAACCCCCCCACGGCCGCUUGUGAACCCUCAGUGUGACGUUGCUGAGGUCAGUCAUGAAGACAGGUGCUUCUUCCCGGUAGCUGGUGUUGCCAUCGUUCAGAUGGCGGGGAAAAAUGGAAGAGUGUAGAUUCAUGGUGAAACCCGGUAGUAAUGACUGAGUUCUGAUGACUGAUUACCUUUGUUUUUACCGAAGUUCAUUAAUUUUAGUAGUGACUGUAUUUAACAGCAAGAUUCUGAAAAUGGGGCAGUGGGUUCUCGCGGGUGAUGCCAAGCUGGCUGCAGCAGGUGUGGCCACAGGGACCCUACACCGAGGGCAGCUCUGCCCCCCAGGAUGUCCGGAGGAGAGCCAGUUGCUGGGUGUCCUCUGAGGCCCUGUGGGGUCAGGUGGUUGUUAGGGCCCUUGAAAGCCAUGAACGACCUAUCCUUCCUCAUCCUCCACAUUCCCGCCUGGCGAGGAAGCCCGUCAGGAAGCCGUCCUGACUGGCAGGUUGGAGACCAGGAGUGAAUUUGGGGACAUGAGGGAGAAUGUCACUCUGUUGCCCCACCCUCGCACACAAGGGCACCCUACUAUCCUCCUAGUUUCCUCUUAGGACAUGGCUGGGACUGGAGUCCCAGACCGGGGACACCCAUUACUGUUUUGCAGGUGUGUGUCUUUGGGCCAAGUAUUCUCCUGAGUCUCUGAGCCUCAGUUUCCUCAGAGCACAAUGGGGACGCUCCGGCCAAUGGCUGUGAGGAGAGGGACGGAGAGGAGGCAGCUCACAGCUGCACCCUCCACAGACCCCAGGGGCUGGGGUAGUUUUUCCCGCACCAGAGUUCUCCAUGAGAGCUUCAGGGAGCUGGAAACAUCCUCACAUCUCCAGAUCCCAUGACAAAGAGGAAUGACUUCCGUCUUCCACAAUUCAGGGGUGGGCGCAGCACCCAGGAGCUGUGCGUUCUCAGCCAGAAGGACUUGCAGGGGAACAAAGUUGACGGUGUUGAGCAGGCCUUCCAGAGUGUUCUGUGAUCAGCCCCAGACUGAGCUUCUUCACUCUUUUUCCGUCUCUGUUUCACUCUUUUUCCGUCUCUGUUUCACUCUUUUCCGCCUGUUUGGGUUUGGUCACUCUGAGCGGUAUGCCGGAGGCAUUUACUGUGGGGAAUCAGGCCACAUGCGGUUGUGGGAGCUGGUGAAGAAGUCCAGGGAAGGCUGUGCCUCUGGGUGGGCAGGGCUGGCUGUUGUAGAGAAAAGCAGAUGUGAAUGGGGGCAAGGAGAGGCUGGAAACCACGGGCACAGAGUGGCCCUGAGUCCAUCACCUCCCACCUCUGUGAUGUGGUGACCUGUUGGAGCUGGCUGCACACAUACCUAGUCCGGGGCUCGGAACCCAUCGACGAAACAGAGGCGCCCCUGGAUGGUUUCUGUCCGAGCCAACAGUGGGCACCGGCCACCCAAUGACACUGUGGGAGCCACGAAAGCACCCAGCUUAGCCAAGUUGAUGUGGUGAGUGAAAAGCCACCACCGCACUAUGCUUCUGGGGUACCAAGUGCUUUUGGACCUUCUCGUCGUUCUUCCAGGUUCCUAUGCCUCUGCAUGGAGUGUUUGCUCCAGCCAUGGCACCUGGAAAACUCCUACAGCACCUUCAAAACCCUGCAGAGACAUCACCUCCUCUGAGAAGAAUUCCCUGACACCUGCCCUCCAGGACUAGUCCUGUACUUCACACAUGGUGACUGCCUCUGUUGUACCUGCGAGAUGCCUCAAGGGGACAAGCUGUGCCUGUUUGACAGCUCAGGAAUUUAAACCUGCCUUUGUAGGAUGAAAUCGAAUACAUCAGUUCAUGAUGCUCUGCCAGCCAAGCUGGGGCUUCCGGUGUCCUGGGGCCACGUGAACGGAGCAGAGACACCGCCAGCGCCUAUGUUCUCCGGGACCUUCUUGAGCUGUGGCCGCUGCUCCAAAGUCCCAGGCAGCUGAUGCGGACCCGUGUCUGCGGCGCCCACGAAAGACGGUGCUUUCAUGAGAGCGGCCUGCCCUUCCUGAGCCCUUCUGCGAGCCGUGGGAUUCCAAAUGCUCUGAAUGCAUUAGCUGACGCUCACACGGGCCCCAUGAGAUAGACGCCCUUCGGCAGAUGAGGAAGCCAGCCUGGAGGAUCACAGUGCAAGGGGAAGUUCUAGAGCAAAGACCAGAAGGAGGGAUCUGUGGUAAGUGGAAUUCGUUUCUCUAGUUCUGCAACUUGUGGCAGAGAUCAUGCCGAGGGGGAAAGUGUCGGGUGCCAGACCCCACUCCCAGGGGACAGUCAUCCCCCAGGGGACAGCACCCUUGCAGGGGGCUUGGUGACGGGGGCCAGAGCAGGCCCAGCCGCUGUGGCGCCCA